rnacentral:rRNA from 1 species
UACGUAGGGACCGAGCGUUGUCCGGAUUCAUUGGGCGUAAAGAGCUCGUAGGCGGUGUGUCGCGUCGGCCGUGAAAACUUGCAGCUUAACUGCGGGCUUGCAGUUGAUACGGGCAGGCUAGAGUUCGGUAGGGGAGACUGGAAUUCCUGGUGUAGCGGUGAAAUGCGCAGAUAUCAGGAGGAACACCGGUGGCGAAGGCGGGUCUCUGGGCCGAUACUGACGCUGAGGAGCGAAAGCGUGGGGAGCGAACAGG